AACCUUGCGCAGUGGCAGUAUUAUAGAUUAUGAGAUUCAUCUGACGUGUGAUUAUUGCUAGUUGAAAACUUUACCCAAUACCCUGCCUUGAUGAUUUGAAAUAAAAUCGUCAAAGGCAAAUUCUGACAGUCUCUAUGGAGA
rnacentral:snRNA from 1 species